rnacentral:rRNA from 1 species
UACGAGAGGCCCAAACGUUAUUCGGAAUUACUGGGCUUAAAGAGUCCGUAGGCGGCGCGGAAAGUGGGGUGUGAAAGCCCUCGGCUCAACCGAGGAAUUGCGCUCCAAACUACCGUGCUUGAGGAACCUAGAGGUGAGCGAGAACUGAUGGUGGAGCGGUGAAAUGCGUUGAUAUCAUCAGGAAUACCGGAGGCGAAGGCGGCUCACUGGGGGGUUUCUGACGCUGAGGGACG